rnacentral:rRNA from 1 species
GACGAACGCUGGCGGCGUGCUUAACACAUGCAAGUCGAACGGAAAGGCCCUGCUUUUGUGGGGUGCUCGAGUGGCGAACGGGUGAGUAACACGUGAGUAACCUGCCCUUGACUUUGGGAUAACUUCAGGAAACUGGGGCUAAAACCGGAUAGGAGCUCCUGCUGCAUGGUGGGGGUUGGAAAGUUUCGGCGGUUGGGGAUGGACUCGCGGCUUAUCAGCUUGUUGGUGGGGUAGUGGCUUACCAAGGCUUUGACGGGUAGCCGGCCUGAGAGGGUGACCGGCCACAUUGGGACUGAGAUACGGCCCAGACUCCUACGGGAGGCAGCAGUGGGGAAUAUUGCACAAUGGGCGGAAGCCUGAUGCAGCAACGCCGCGUGCGGAAUGACGGCCUUCGGGUUGUAAACCGCUUUCGCCUGUGACGAAGCGUGAGUGACGGUAAUGGGUAAAGAAGCACCGGCUAACUACGUG